rnacentral:rRNA from 1 species
GACGAACGCUGGCGGCGUGCUUAACACAUGCAAGUCGAGCGGUAAGGCCCUUUCGGGGGUACACGAGCGGCGAACGGGUGAGUAACACGUGGGUGACCUGCCCUCAGCUCUGGGAUAAGCCUGGGAAACUGGGUCUAAUACUGGAUAUGACUCCACGGUGCAUGUCGUGGGUGGAAAGCCUUGUGCGGCUGAGGAUGGGCCCGCGGCCUAUCAGCUUGUUGGUGGGGUGAUGGCCUACCAAGGCGACGACGGGUAGCCGGCCUGAGAGGCGACCGGCCACACUGGGACUGAGACACGGCCCAGACUCCUACGGGAGGCAGCAGUGGGGAAUCUUGCGCAAUGGGCGAAAGCCUGACGCAGCGACGCCGCGUGAGGGAU